UACGUAGGGUGCGAGCGUUAAUCGGAAUUACUGGGCGUAAAGCGCGCGUAGGUGGUUCAGUAAGUUGGAAGUGAAAUCCCCGGGCUCAACCUGGGAAUUGCGUUGGAGACUGCAAGGCUUGAAUCUGGCAGAGGGGGGUAGAAUUCCACGUGUAGCAGUGAAAUGCGUAGAGAUGUGGAGGAACACCGAUGGCGAAGGCAGCCCCCUGGGUCAAGAUUGACGCUCAUGCACGAAAGCGUGGGGAGCAAACAGG
rnacentral:rRNA from 1 species